CCUACGGGAGGCAGCAGUGGGGAAUAUUGGGCAAUGGGCGCAAGCCUGACCCAGCAACGCCGCGUGAAGGAAGAAGGCUUUCGGGUUGUAAACUUCUUUUGUCAGGGACGAAGCAAGUGACGGUACCUGACGAAUAAGCCACGGCUAACUACGUGCCAGCAGCCGCGGUAAUACGUAGGUGGCAAGCGUUAUCCGGAUUUAUUGGGUGUAAAGGGCGUGUUGGCGGGAAGGCAAGUGAGGUGUGAAAACUAUGUGCUCAACCCGUAGCCUGCAUUUGAAACUGUAUUUCUUGAGUGUUGGAGAGGCAAUCGGAAUUCGGGGUGUAGCGGUGAAAUGCGUAGAUAGACGGAGGAACACCAGUGGCGAAGGCGGAUUGCUGGACAGUAACUGACGCUGAGGCGCGAAAGCGUGGGGAGCAAACAGGAUUAGAUACCCGUGUAGUC
rnacentral:rRNA from 1 species